GGGGGUAUAGCUCAGUGGUAGAGCAUGUUCUUGGCGUGCACGGGGUUCUGGGUUCAAUCCCCAGUACCUGUG
rnacentral:tRNA from 1 species